CAAUGCAUUCUGGGACUUUGGUUUUCUUUGUGGUGUCAGCUCUACCAUGUGUCCUCUCUCAGAUAUCACUAUCAUUCUCAGCACCUUCUGUGGUUAAACCUUCACAGUCAAUGAUGUUGACCUGUAAAGUGACUGGUGUUCUCAUUACUGAUGGAAGUAAAAUUCACGCUGUUAACUUCAUAAGACAAGACGCUGGACAUAAGUUUGUAUUUCUGGCUCACCUUAACUAUGCUCAGGGCUCAGCUUACAAUCCUUCACUAAGCAGUAGAAUUACCUUGUCAAGAGACACAAACAAAAAUGAAGUGUAUCUACAAGUAAGAUCACUGGAGACAGCGGACUCCGCAACAUAUUUCUGUGCUGGAGAGACCACAAUAUGUAAAAGGAAGGAAGAGACUGUACAAAUCCCACAUCUUGUGAAGGCUUCACACCUUAUUCUUCAUGCCUAUUUUAUUCACCUGUGGCUUAUUCAAGUAACUACACUCUAG